UCUGUGAAUGGGUCACCACCGGUGUCCCACAAAGUCCAGUCUCUCCUGGACCAAAGGUGUCUCAUCACCUCCUUGAGGCUGCAGGUGAACUGAGCCUGAGAACUCUGGGGAACCCUGUAGAAAAACUCUGAUUCAGGCCACCAAAUAUGCAAAUGAACACCAAGGGAACCUCUGCUUAUUUAAGCAGGCCAUGGGCUCCAAUUUCAGAGCAGCAGACAGAAAACGAGGUACUCCAACCCUCUCUCCUCACCCUUGGGUCUCGAACCAUUGCAUUUCGUGGAUUCCUCUUCAAGAUGAGCUUCCUAGCCUGGUUCCUCUGUCUCCUGGUGAUGGAUUUGGGGAGCUGCAGGGGACAGAUCAUCUUGACUCAGUCUCCAGACACCCUGGCUGCAAGUCUAGGGGACUUCGUCUCCAUCACCUGUAGAAGCAGCAUGAAAGUUGGUACCUCCAUGGCCUGGUACCAUCAGAAACCCAUGGAGGUUCCCAGAUUGCUCAUCUUUGGGGCUUCUGCCAGGGCUGCUGGGACCCCUUCCAGGUUCCGGGGAAGUGGUUCUGGUAUUUUCUUUUCCCUUGCCAUCCAUGGAGUGGAAGCUGAAGAUUCUGGAGUGUUUUACUGCCAGCAGCACUUCAGCGAGCCUCUCACAGUGACAGAUCUCCAAAUAAAAACCAUCCUUUCUGCCCUGCUGCAAACAUACUUGCUUCCUGCAGGGGGCGUCAUGUGAGAGGUGCGAAGAGCCCACACUGCAGAUGUGCGUGUUUUCAGAGUGUGAGCCUU